rnacentral:lncRNA from 1 species
GUCGAGUGGACAAGCCGGUGGCGAUUCGCAUUUGAAGGGCGUGCACUAAAGCAUUAAGCCAUGAGAUUGGUCAAGAAAUGCGAGUGAUGAUAAGCCCGGGAUGUUGGGUGAUGUUGAUCAUGCUCCGGAUGACGAUCAAGCAACAAUUCAAGAACCGAACACUAUCUUUUGAAGCUUCCGCGCUUAUCUAAUUCAGUUAAAAACAAUGCUUAUGUUGUAGAUAUUUAAAUUGUCGUUUUGGGAUGUUAAACUUAGUUGGGAGU